UACGUAGGGUGCGAGCGUUGUCCGGAAUUAUUGGGCGUAAAGAGCUCGUAGGUGGCGGGUCACGUCGGGUGUGAAAGCCCGGGGCUUAACUCCGGGUCUGCAUUCGAUACGGGUCUGCUGGGGUCCGGCAGGGGAGACUGGAAUUCCUGGUGUAGCGGUGAAAUGCGCAGAUAUCAGGAGGAACACCAGUGGCGCAGGCGGCUCACUGGCCCGGUACUGACGCUGAGACGCGAAAGCGUGGGGAGCGAACAGG
rnacentral:rRNA from 1 species